rnacentral:rRNA from 1 species
UACGUAGGGGGCAAGCGUUGUUCGGAAUUACUGGGCGUAAAGGGCGCGUAGGCGGCACGGCAAGUCAGGAGUGAAAGCCCGGGGCUCAACCCCGGAAUGUCUUUUGAAACUGCCGAGCUAGAGUGCGGAAGAGGCAACUGGAAUUCCCAGUGUGGCGGUGAAAUGCGUAGAUAUUGGGAAGAACACCUGAGGCGAAGGCGGGUUGCUGGGCCGACACUGACGCUGAUGCGCGAAAGCCAGGGGAGCGAACGGG